rnacentral:rRNA from 2 species
CUGACCUCAGAUCAGGCAAGACCACCCGCUGAGUUUAAGCAUAU